GCGUGGUACUUUAAGAGAAAAGGUCUGAUUUGCAGUCAGGAAUUGGGAGUUAUUCCCUUACGCUG
rnacentral:tRNA from 1 species